rnacentral:rRNA from 1 species
UGGGGAAUAUUGCACAAUGGGCGCAAGCCUGAUGCAGCCAUGCCGCGUGUAUGAAGAAGGCCUUCGGGUUGUAAAGUACUUUCAGCGAGGGAGGUGUUGUGUUAGUAAACCACAGCAAUUGACGUUACUCGCAGAAGAAGCACCGGCUAACUCCGUGCCAGCAGCCGCGGUAAUACGGAGGGUGCAAGCGUUAAUCGGAAUUACUGGGCGUAAAGCGCACGCAGGCGGUCUGUCAAGUCGGAUGUGAAAUCCCCCGGGCUCAACCUGGGAACUGCAUCCGAAACUGGCAGGCUAGAGUCUUGUAGA